AUGGGGCGGAACCGAAAGUGGCGGAGAAAGGUUCCGCCUGAAGAUGGUUUCCGCCCGGGCCCGAUUUUUAACCACACAUUUUACUUCCUGGUCUCCCUGGCAACACAGAUCACGGGCAGAUGAGCCACAGGUGUUACAGAUUAAGCUGGCAACUCGUGAUUGGAGGAGAGAAGAGAGACAAGACCCAUAAAAGGUCCAAGGAAAGCACAAACAAGGAGAGUUGUUUCGGGCACGAGCUCCUUUUGUCGCCUAGGGCAGACUAAAGCACAUGCCCCGUCCUUGGAAGAGCCGGAGGGCGCCGUUGAUCCACGGAGCGCUUACAGCGAGAGGAAAGAGUGCGGCAGCCAGGAGAGGCGAAAAGGACGGGGCUUUUGCAGUGAACGCUGGAGUAAUAGGAAACCAUACGGGUGGAAGAAACAUCAGUAUAAGUGACACAUUUAGAGGAACAAAGGAGGAAGGAAACGUAACGAUUUUGCAACGUAAACAAAGGCGGACCGCUGUGAGUAUUAACUCCUGGAAUAGAACGAAGUGGAAAACUAACCUGUGCAUUUACCGAAUACCUCCAGGAGGAGGAGGGCGGCCCUACCCCUGAUCCAGCGUGGUAGGUGAGCCGCAGGAAUAUUUUGUCUCAGCAGCCACAGCAGCAGAAUUAAAUAUCCCGGCCGUAUUGUCAUCGCCCCCAUCCAACCCAAGCGAAGUGGAGGACGUCGGGCGUCUCUGGUGUACACCUGUAGUGUGGUGGGUGAGUCCAUGUAUUUUGAAAACCUUUCACGUUGAAGUGGUGCUGUGUAUUUGCUGUGGGUUGCUGUGCAAGUGCUGUGUGUCUUGUCAGAUGUACCCCGCAUCAUUCAUUUCAUUGAGGAAGAGACGGAGAGGCUAACGGUCCUAGGGAAUAUCAUCUAUUAUACGCUGUGUGCGGCUUGAGUGAGAAGUGACGGUGUGGGCCUCUGGAAGCCGCCCCCGUCUGUAUGUCGACAGGUUUCGGAGAGCGGCGGUGAAGAUUUGGAAGCUGGCAGUGUGUGUGUGAGUACAACUACGGGCCUUUUGUAUUGCUACUUUACCUGUGUGUUUUCCCUUGUUGCAGAGUGAGAGGCGCAGGAGCUCCGCCGCCCCGUGUCUCUACAAAAGGGCGCCCCUGUCCGGUAUUCGAUCGCCCUACGGGUAGUGAGGAUAGGGCAGCGCUCGACCCGGUGAGACGGUGUGACACUUCGCCCCUCUGCCGACCAGCAAACUAGCCGAGAGGGUCUUGUCCCCGGCGCCUUCUGGGAAAUCAUCGCCCGUUGGACUUUCUGGGUAGGCCAGCCGUCGUAAGCCCGCCCCCGUUAUAUUGUCGAUCGGAGCACCGUAUAGCGAGCUGUGGAAAAGCUGCAUCUACUAAGAGCUGUAAACAGCAUAGAGGAGAGAAGAGGAGGGCGCCACGGAUAGCGGGGACAGGCAGGAGCCUGUGUUUCACGUCUCCCCCCCUCCACCUUUGGUUUCCAGCCCCCCUGGAAACCCCCGUUGCCCCCUUUCCCCUUCCUGCCACCUCCCUGUGUCGUGGCCUGCCUGGAAGGCAGAGUUAGAGCCUAGUUUUAAUUGCCCCUCCC